rnacentral:rRNA from 1 species
GGAAUAUUGGUCAAUGGCCGAGAGGCUGAACCAGCCAAGUAGCGUGCAGGAUGACGGCCCUAUGGGUUGUAAACUGCUUUUAUGCGGGGAUAAAGUGCGCCACGUGUGGCGUUUUGUAGGUACCGCAUGAAUAAGGACCGGCUAAUUCCGUGCCAGCAGCCGCGGUAAUACGGAAGGUCCGGGCGUUAUCCGGAUUUAUUGGGUUUAAAGGGAGCGCAGGCGGAAGCUUAAGCGUGACGUGAAAUGCAGGUGCUCAACAUCUGCACUGCGUCGCGAACUGGGUUUCUUGAGUGAGUACGACGUGGACGGAAUUCGUGGUGUAGCGGUGAAAUGCUUAGAUAUCACGAAGAACCCCGAUUGCGAAGGCAGUCCACGAGUCCUUUACUGACGCUAAAGCUCGAAAGUGCGGGUAUCGAACA